rnacentral:rRNA from 1 species
CCCUUAGAUGUCCUGGGCCGCACGCGCGUUACACUGAUGCAUUCAACGAGCCUAUAACCUUGGCCGAGAGGCCUGGGCAAUCUUGUUAACGUGCAUCGUGAUAGGGAUAGAUUAUUGAAAUUAUUAAUCUUGAACGAGGAAUUCCUAGUAAACGCAGAUCAUCAAUCUGCAUUGAUUACGUCCCUGCCCUUUGUACACACCGCCCGUCGCACCUACCGAUUGGAUGGUCCGGUGAGGCCUCGGGAUUGUGGUUCUUGCCGCUUUAUUGUGGCGUGACCGCGAGAACUUGUCUAAACCUUAUCAUCUAGAGGAAGGUGAAGUCGUAACA